rnacentral:rRNA from 1 species
CAAUAGCGUAUAUUAAAGUUGUUGCAGUUAAAAAGCUCGUAGUUGGAUUUCGGGGUGGCCUGGCUGGUCCGCCGCAAGGUGAGUACUGGUCAGCCGCCCUUCCUCUCGAAAGCCCCGACUGCUCUUUACUGCAGUGGUCGGGUAGUUCGGGACGUUUACUUUGAAAAAAUUAGAGUGUUCAAGGCAGGCUAUCGCCUGAAUACAUUAGCAUGGAAUAAUGGAAGAGGACCUCGGUCCUAUUUUGUUGGUUUCUAGGGCCGAAGUAAUGAUUAAGAGGGGCAGUUGGGGGCAUUCGUAUUUAAUUGUCAGAGGUGAAAUUCUUGGAUUUAUGAAAGACGAACUAGUGCGAAAGCAUUUGCCAAGGAUGUUUUCAUUAA